CCUCCGAAGUUUCCCUCAGGAUAUCUGGAACUCGGAAACAAGUUCUAUCGGGUAAAGCCAAUGAUUAGAGGCAUCGGGGACGCAAUGUCCUCGACCUAUUCUCAAACUUUAAAUAUGUAGGACGGUGUGGCUGCUUUGUUGAGCCAUCCCACGGAAUUGAGAGCUCCAAGUGGGCCAUUUUUUGGUAAGCAGAACUGGCGAUGCAGGAUGAACCAGAAGCCGGGUUUAGGCCAAGGAAGUUUGAGG
rnacentral:ncRNA from 2 species